AUCUCGUGGUGAGGGCAUUUACAUAGUAGCUCUUUUAAUUUUUCCCAUGCCUCGUAUAAGGACUCAUCCUCCAUCUGCUGAAAAGUGGUGAUCUCAUUCUGCAACU
rfam:Gossypium raimondii chromosome 3, whole genome shotgun sequence.